rnacentral:rRNA from 1 species
AAAUUGAAGAGUUUGAUCAUGGCUCAGAUUGAACGCUGGCGGCAGGCCUAACACAUGCAAGUCGAACGGUAACAGGAAGCAGCUUGCUGCUUCGCUGACGAGUGGCGGACGGGUGAGUAAUGUCUGGGAAACUGCCUGAUGGAGGGGGAUAACUACUGGAAACGGUGGCUAAUACGGGACAACGUCGCAAGACCAAAGAGGGGGACCUUCGGGCCUCUUG